UACGUAGGGCGCAAGCGUUGUCCGGAAUUAUUGGGCGUAAAGAGCUCGUAGGCGGUUUGUCGCGUCUGCUGUGAAAACCUAAGGCUCAACCUUGGGCUUGCAGUGGGUACGGGCAGACUAGAAUGCGGUAGGGGUGACUGGAAUUCCUGGUGUAGCGGUGGAAUGCGCAGAUAUCAGGAGGAACACCGAUGGCGAAGGCAGGUCACUGGGCCGCAACUGACGCUGAGGAGCGAAAGCAUGGGGAGCGAACAGG
rnacentral:rRNA from 1 species